ACCACGCCCGCACCUCUACGGCCCCUAGAUCGACUACCACGACGACUUCUUCCUUCUUUGCUUCGCGGACAGCAGCCCCACCAAAUUCAGAGCUCCCUCUCGUCGCCUCCGGCUCGUCUCCGUCGACCCCGUCAUGUCCUAGGGUGAGCUGGGUAACGCACCUCCCUCUCCCAUCCAUCCCAUGGCAUGUAAGCACUCAUAGGACUCGCACGAUCCGUGUAUUUGCUGCGCCCGCAGUGCUCCGACGAAGUCUGAAGAUUUCUGCCGUGUGUGUACCUGUUGUAGCACGCCCGUGCGUCCCCGCGCUCCGGUUCCCGCCUAGCUGCGUUCUCCUCGCUACACUUUCCCACUCGCUUGCAGCCCGCAUGCCACGGCCACCUUGGUCGCACGGCAAGUUCGUGUACUUCCUUUGCCUGCUCUCGUCCACGCACACACGCAGCUUGCGUUCCACGGGCUCCUGCUCGAGCGUUUGCAAGCGCGCCACUACACCCGCACUUUCUUGCACUUCCCGCAGGCCCGAUGCUGCUCUGCAUCGCAAGUCGUCGCCUUCUAGCUCGUCACCGCCGGCGCCGGUGAUUUCUGUGUUGUCACGGCCAAAGGCUCGGCCUUCUGGCCCUGGUUUAAAAGGAGCCAGGCGCCUCUCUCAAUACACGCACUCCCCUCUAGCGCAUGGUUAGCACGCCUCUUUCCUACCUAGGAGACCUGGGUUCGAGUCCUAGGUUCCACGUUUUUAGUGGUGGCCUUUUAUUUUCACUGUGACUAUGACGCCUUGGUCCCAUUGUCAUCCACACACACUCACAGGCCCACAUGUCAUGCUCUCACAUCCCUCGUAUCUAUUUCUUUUCCUGUAUUAAUCUUUUAUUCCAGCGAUUUCCAUUUCUGGAAUAUGCUAGCUUUCCUUUUCAGGCAAGUCCAGAUCUGGACAUUCCAAAUAUGGAAAUUGCCAAUUCUGUCAUAUUCCCUUUUAGGGCAGUUUCUCACUUAUAGCAUUUCUGAUGAUUUUUCUACAGCAACCUAGACAUGUUAUAUAUGUUUUUGGGGUAGAAAAAUCCCACCAAUCCAGUGGUGGCAUUAUUUUCUGCAUUUAAGCAAGUUUUCAUACAUGUUAUUUUACAUCAUGAUGUUGUCUUGUCAUUUUUGUGCGGUUUAUUUCAAGCAUGCUAUGAGGUGAUUUUGCACAUGGAUAGUUUCAUUUUCAUGCCUACUCUAUGCUAGAUUUAUUUCAAGCCAUGAUAUGCUAUGUAGUGAGUUAAUCAAGCUUGUUAACAUGCCUACAUGAAUCUGUUUUUGCCAUGUCCUGAAAUUUCAUCAAGUCUGAAUCUGUUUAUAAAACUUGCUAUGUUUACAUGGUUGCCAUCAUAUCUUCUGGUCCUUUUUGGCUUAUGGUCAGUAAGGGACUUUUGUCAUUUGCUUUUAGUAGAACACUGCCAUGCCUUGUUUUGCUAUGUUAAGUUCCUGUAGCAUGUUGACUUCGUGCUCUGAACUUUGCUACCUGAUGCUGUUUUCUGCCAUGUCCAGUUUUUCACCAAGUCUGUGAACCUGUUAUCUUUUGCACUUUUGCCAUGCUUGUUUGAGCUUGAUAUGUUGUGAACUAGCCGUAGCUCAGUGUUCAUAUUUUGUCAAUCAUCUCCUGUAGUUUACUGUCAUAUGCUUUGUUGCUAUGUUGGGGUGCUGUAGCAUUGUUGCUUGUUGCAUUUAAGUGCUAUCCUGCUGUUUAUCGCAGAUUCGUGUCAUUCUUGUUUUGCUUGCCAUUUGCAAACCGUGCAUCCGUUUCCGGUGAUCUUUACAUCGAUUUCGACCGAAAUCAUCUCAUCUUUCCAGUGGAAUGCUUGGUUUGCCAAGUUACUGCCAUGUUCAUCAUUUUCCUUCCGGAGCACGCAUAUGCACCGCAUAUCAUAUCUUGCAUACCAUACAUGUUUUGCAUCAUGUUGCUUGCGCAUUCCUCGUUGUUGAUUGUGGUUCCGUUUGUUUGUGUUCUUAUCUUGGGUAGAGCCGGGAGACGAGUUCGUGAACGAGGAACCUGUCGAGUACGCUUACGAGGAUCAAGCUUUCGACAACUCUGAGAACCUUGCAGGCAAGAUGACCACCCCUCGAAAUCACUUCUAUCUUUCCUUUGCUAGUUGUUCUCUCUAUUGCCAUGCUCCGCUACCUAUCACUUGAUAUAUCAUGUCUCCCAUUUUUCCAUGUCAGCCUCUAACCAUCCUUUCCUAGCAAACCGUUGUUUGAGUUACCGCUUUUGCUCAGCCCUUCUUAUAGCGUUGCUAGUUGCAGGUGAAGUUGAAGUUUGUUCCAUGUCAGAACAUGGAUAUGUUGGGAUAUCACAAUAUCUCUUAUUUAAUUAAUGCAUCUAUAUAUUUGGUAAAGGGUGGAAGGCUCGGCCUUAUGCCUGGUGUUUUGUUCCACUCUUGCCGCCCUAGUUACUGAUAUACCGGGAUUAUGUUCCUUGAGUUUGCGUUCCUUACGCGGUCGGGUGAUUUAUGGGACCCCCUUGACAGUUCGCCUUGAAUAAAACUCCUCCAGCAAGGCCCAACCUUGGUUUUACCAUUUGCUACCUAAGCCUUUUCCCCCGGGUUUUCGCGAGCCCGCGGGUCAUCUUAUUUUAACCCCCGGGCCAGUGUUCCUCUGAGUGCUGGUCCAAACUAGAGCACCGUGCGGGACCGUCCCUUGGCAACUUGGGUUAUGUUGGUACCUGUACGCUUUGCUUAUCCGGUGUGCCCUGAGAACGAGAUAUGUGCAGCUCCUAUCGGGAUUUGUCGGCACAUUCGGGCGGCUUUGCUGGUCUUGUUUUACCAUUGUCGAGAUGUCUUGUAAACAGGGAUUCCGAGACUGAUCGGGUCUUUCCGGGAGAAGGUUUAUCCUUCGUUGACCGUGAGAGCUUAUGAUGGGCUAAGUUGGGACACCCCUGCAGGGUAUUAUCUUUCGAAAGCCGUGCCCACGGUUAUGAGGCAGAUGGGAUUUUGUUAAUGUCCGGUUGUAGAUAACUUGUCACUUGACCCAAUUAAAAUGCAUCAACUGUGUGUGUAGCCGUGAUGGUCUCUUCUCGGCGGAGUCCGGGAGGUGAACACGGUCUGAGUUAUGAAUGACGUAAGUAGGUGUUCAGGAUCACUUCUUGGUCAUUGCUAGAUGACGUCCGUUCCGUUGCUUCUCUUCUCGUUCUCAUUUGCACAAGUUAGCCACCAUAUAUGCUUUUGCCGCCGCAGCUCCACCUCAUUACACCAUCCUUUCCUACUAGCUUAAAAUAGUCUUGAUCUCGCGUGUGUGAGAUUGCUGAGUCCCCGUGACUCACAGAUUCUACCAAAACAGUUGCAGGUGCCGACGAUGCCAGUGCAGAUGAUGGUGUCGAUGUCAAGUGGGAGUUCGACGAGGAACGUGGUCGUUACUAUGUGUCUUUUCCUGACGAUCAGUAGUGGAGCCCAGUUGGGACGAUCGGGGUUCUAGCAUUUGGGGUUGUCUUAUUUUCAUCUGGAUCUUGACCGUAGUCGGUCUAUAUGUUUGUAUUUUGGAUGAUGUAUGAUUAAUAUUUAUGUAUUGUGUGAAGUGGAGAUUGUAAGCCAACUCUUUAUCCCAUUCUUGUUCAUUACAUGGGAUUGUGUGAAGAUGACCCUUCUUGCGACAAAACCACUAUGCGGUUAUGCCUCUAAGUCGUGCCUCGACACGUGGGAGAUAUAGCCGCAUCGUGGGCGUUACAAGUUGGUAAUCAGAG
rnacentral:lncRNA from 1 species